AGAAAUUAGGAUCAGAGCUGCAUGCGAUUCGUUUGUUCCCAUUUAACGGGCGGUUGCUUAGCUCGCAAAUAUUUUCUCGUUUAUCUGGACAACGACGAGCAACGUGAAUGACGAUGAUGAUGGUGGUUUCGUUCUCUCGGACGACGCAAGAGGCAUGGAGAAUAAAACGUAUGAGCGUGAGAGAUCAGUGAGCCGUGUGAUCGAUGAUCGAUGAACGAUGAUCCAUGAUGCCUGGCCACGUUUCUGUCAGUCGUUCGGUCGUUGAUCGUCGCCAUUUCCAUCCAUCGACACUUCCAUUGUUGACGACAUCGAACAACACGAGAGACAUCCACCGAUUUUUAACGGACAAUCGUAUUAAUGUCACGAAGAGAUGCAACAACGCGGUUACGUUGGCGAUUAAACGUGCGAUGCGAAAAUUAUAUCUGUUAUAUCGAUACCACGAUCUUCGAUCAGAUGCUAUCUACGCUCGAAUAGUACGUAAGUCUCUAACAAACAUGUCUAUCACCACGACCGAGUUAAUCAUUAAUUGGUUACCAAAAUCAUUUCUAGCCCAUCUCUGAUGCAAAGAUAAUUAUUGUAAUUAAUUGAACACCAGCGAACACCAAUGGGAGCGUCGGUCAUCAGUGGAUGUCAAGCUGCUCCUCAGUCACAUAUAGUCGAACUAUUCUUUUACUUUCCUUUUAUUAAAAACAGAAAAAUCUAUUUCAAAAGGCGCAAAAGAAAAAGAAAAAUGAAUCGUAUAAUCGCGAGGCAAACAAGUCUUGAGGUAUAUUCAACAUAAUUAUAUAUAUUUUUUUAUACGUAUGUAUAGAUGCAUGUUUUCGUAUAGCGACAUUAUAAGUAUAAUAACUUAGAUACAAAGUGUACGGAGUAGAGUAAAUUAAUAUUACACAUAUUAUGGCAUGGUUCUGUGUACGUGAAGAGAAAAGGUAUUCAGACACGGAUUGUAGAUAAAAUAUGAACUCGAGGUGAAUUAAAUACGAUUCGAAAAAAUUCAAAACACGUACGUGUCCAAAAGUGCAUACGCAUUUCACACGUCGGAUGGGGAUGACACAUAACAAUACAAAGGUAUUUUUUUUUCUUUUUUCGAAGGAUUGGGAGCAUCCCAUGUAUGUAUAUUUUCAGUUUCCUUGCUUCGCUUUUUACUCAUUUUCACUUGGUUUCUUUUUUUAGUCACGAUGGAGUGCAAGCAAAGGUGGAGGGCUCUUUUCAUAAGGAUACGAGACGGAUCCUCCAGGAUGGCGUUUCUGGCUUCUGAGAAAGGCCUUGGAGGGAAAUAUUCGCGGACCGCCAAAUAUUUACACCUCCGACAAAGUUAAUGUGUCUUUACAUCCUUCCUUUUCGUUCGUUUAUUUAUUUUCGACUUUCAAAGUUUUAACUUUUAUCUUAACUUAUUCGUCUAUCCAACAGGCAGAAGCCAAAAGCACCUGGUUACAAAUUACUGACAAGAACUUUGACAAGAAUUAUCAACUAAAGGAAGAAAACUCCGAGAACGAGCGGUUAUAAUUAAUUAAUUAAUUGGAUUCAACGACGAUAAUGCUUUCGUUCCACAUUCUCAUGCGUUUCUUCGUUCAUUCUCUUUUUCGUUCUCACUCAGGUCUUUUUUGCUUUCAUUCGUAUCUUUUUGUCGUUUCCGUUUUUUUUUCUUUUUUUUUACUUUUUGGCACUAGAAUUUUUAUAAUUAUAUUUUCUCUCUCGUUCGUAAA